rnacentral:rRNA from 1 species
UACGUAGGUGGCAAGCGUUGUCCGGAAUUAUUGGGCGUAAAGCGCGCGCAGGCGGUUUCGUAAGCCAGACGUGAAAUCCCCGAGCUUAACUUGGGAACUGCGUUUGGUACUGCGAGGCUAGAGUACGGCAGAGGGAGGUGGAAUUCCACGUGUAGCAGUGAAAUGCGUAGAUAUGUGGAGGAACACCGAUGGCGAAGGCAGCCUCCUGGGCUAGUACUGACGCUCAUGCACGAAAGCGUGGGGAGCAAACAGG